UACGUAGGUGGCAAGCGUUGUUCGGAAUUACUGGGCGUAAAGGGCGCGUAGGCGGCCGUUUGCGUCGGAUGUGAAAGCCCGGGGCUCAACCUCGGAACGGCAUUCGAUACGGGACGGCUGGAGACCGGGAGAGGAGAGUGGAAUAGCCAGUGUAGAGGUGAAAUUCGUAGAUAUUGGCUGGAACACCGGUGGCGAAAGCGGCUCUCUGGCCCGGUUCUGACGCUGAGGCGCGAAAGCGUGGGGAGCAAACAGG
rnacentral:rRNA from 1 species